rnacentral:RNase_P_RNA from 1 species
AGGUGACCAGACGAUCGCGUGCCGAAAGGUAUGAGGAAAGUCCGAGCACCAUAGGGCAGGGUGCCAGCUAACGGCUGGUGGAGGCGACUCCAAGGAGAGUGCAACAGAGAUAUACCGCCCAUCCGUAAGGAUGAGCAAGGGUGGAAAGGCGAGGUAAGAGCUCACCCACGGCCUGGCGACUCGUCCGUGAUGUAAACCCCACCUGGUGCAAGAUGCAAUGGGAGUCUUGAUAACGGCGGCCCGUCGUUUCUCCCGCAAUCGCUUGAGCCUGCGCGGCGACGCCAGGCCUGGAUAGAUGAUCGUCCACGACAGAACUCGGCUUACCGGUCA